rnacentral:rRNA from 1 species
CAACUUUCAGCAAUGGAU